UCUCUGUAUUUACUGCUAUUUCACAGACGAUGAGUCUGAUUUAAUCCAUUCUAUUACACCAUGUGGACGAUUGAAGCAUUUCUCAGGGAA
rfam:Triticum aestivum genome assembly, contig: Triticum_aestivum_CS42_TGACv1_scaffold_404767_5BL